UACGAGGGGGGCGAGCGUUGUUCGGAAUUAUUGGGCGUAAAGGGUGCGUAGGCGGUUUGAUAAGUCUUAUGUGAAAUCUCUGGGCUCAACCCAGAGUCUGCAUAGGAAACUGUCGGGCUUGAGUAUGGGAGAGGUGAGUGGAAUUUCCGGUGUAGCGGUGAAAUGCGUAGAUAUCGGAAGGAACACCUGUGGCGAAAGCGGCUCACUGGACCAUUACUGACGCUGAUGCACGAAAGCUAG
rnacentral:rRNA from 1 species